UACGUAGGGAGCAAGCGUUGUCCGGAAUCAUUGGGCGUAAAACGCGCGUAGGCGGCCCCGUAAGUCCGCUGUGAAAGUCAAAGGCUCAACCUUUGAAAGCCGGUGGAUACUGUGGGGCUAGAGUCCGGAAGAGGCGAGUGGAAUUCCUGGUGUAGCGGUGGAAUGCGCAGAUAUCAGGAGGAACACCAAUAGCGAAGGCAGCUCGCUGGGACGGUACUGACGCUAAGGCGCGAAAGCGUGGGGAGCGAACAGG
rnacentral:rRNA from 1 species